CAAUAGCGUAUAUUAAAGUUGUUGCAGUUAAAAAGCUCGUAGUUGGACCUUGGACCUGGACAGGCGGUCCGCCUCACGGCGUGUACUGUCUUGCUGGGUCUUUCCUCUUGGUGAUCUGUUGUUUCGGCAGCAGGGAACCAGGACUUUUACUUUGAAAAAAUUAGAGUGUUCAAAGCAGGCUCGACGCCGGAAUAUAUUAGCAUGGAAUAAUAAAAUAGGACGUGCGGUUCUAUUUUGUUGGUUUUUGGAAUCGCCGUAAUGAUUAAUAGGGACAGUCGGGGGCAUUAGUACUCACAUGCUAGAGGUGAAAUUCUUGGAUUUUGUGAAGACUAACUUCCGCGAAAGCAUUUGCCAAGGAUGUUUUCAUUAA
rnacentral:rRNA from 1 species